UACGUAGGGUGCAAGCGUUGUCCGGAAUUAUUGGGCGUAAAGAGCUCGUAGGCGGUUUGUCGCGUCUGCUGUGAAAACGCGAGGCUCAACCUCGCGCCUGCAGUGGGUACGGGCAGACUAGAGUGUGGUAGGGGAGACUGGAAUUCCUGGUGUAGCGGUGAAAUGCGCAGAUAUCAGGAGGAACACCGAUGGCGAAGGCAGGUCUCUGGGCCAUAACUGACGCUGAGAAGCGAAAGCAUGGGGAGCGAACAGG
rnacentral:rRNA from 1 species